UACAGAGGGGGCAAGCGUUAUUCGGAAUUAUUGGGCGUAAAGGGCGCGUAGGCGGCGAUUCAAGUGGCGGGUGAAAUCCCUCGGCUUAACCGAGGAACUGCCCUCCAAACUGCUUUGCUUGAGGCCGGGAGAGGUGAGUGGAAUUCCCAGUGUAGCGGUGAAAUGCGUAGAUAUUGGGAGGAACACCAGUGGCGAAGGCGGGUCUCUGGACAGUUCCUGACACUGAGGCACGAAGGCCAGGGGAGCAAACGGG
rnacentral:rRNA from 1 species